UGGGAAGGUGUUCUCCUCUUAGAUGAGCUAGUUUUUAGGUGUGCUGUCAACCUACUCCAGUAUCCUCUUUCCAAUUUCGAUUCAGAGGCAUUCAGAGUAAAGAGCCCAGCAUUUGAUAAAAAUGAGAAUAUAUCGCCUCAAGCAGAAGCAGAUGAAGAUAUGGG